rnacentral:lncRNA from 10 species
AACACCCAAUUCAGGGCACUGGUGUCUCUUCCCCAACCUCAGAGGUGUCUCCAUUGGAGUUAUGCGCAAGAUAGAACUGCUCAGCAUUUGAGAGACUUGAAACAAAAGAUUCCUCUGGGAAUCAUCCAUAAGCAUAAAAUGGAAAAUUUCCUUUCCCCCAAUAUGCCUCAUCCAGUCUCCCCAUGAUUAUUAGCCAGAUCAGAUCAGGAACGUAAGCAGCAGGAACUGAAAGGGAUUUGCCUUCUUUCUGACCGCACCAGAUUUGGGGUUAUUCGGAAGUAACCAACAUCAUCAUCGUCAACCUUGUUUUUUCAAGAUUUUCUGUUUUACUCCAUAGUGUAUUUAUAGUGUUUGCAU